GACGAACGCUGGCGGCGUGCUUAACACAUGCAAGUCGAACGGAAAGGCCCCUUUGGGGGUACUCGAGUGGCGAACGGGUGAGUAACACGUGAGUAACCUGCCCUUGACUUCGGGAUAACUUCAGGAAACUGGGGCUAAUACCGGAUAGGAAUCCUUGCUGCAUGGUGGGGGUUGGAAAGCUUCGGCGGUUUUGGAUGGACUCGCGGCUUAUCAGCUUGUUGGUGGGGUAGUGGCUUACCAAGGCUUUGACGGGUAGCCGGCCUGAGAGGGCGACCGGCCACAUGGGGACGGAGACGAGGCCCAGCCUCCGGCGGGGGGCGGAGGGGGGGAAUAUGGCAAAAGGGGCGGAGGCCGGAGGCGGCACCGCGGCGGGGGGGAUGACGGCCUUGGGGUUGAAACCCGUUUCCAGCGGGGGAGAGGCUUGGGGGGACGUGACCUAAAAAAGAAGCACGGGCUAACUCGGUG
rnacentral:rRNA from 1 species